rnacentral:rRNA from 1 species
UACGUAGGGGGCAAGCGUUGUCCGGAAUCAUUGGGCGUAAAGAGCGUGUAGGCGGCUCGGUAAGUCCGCUGUAAAAGUCCAGGGCUCAACCCUGGAAAGCCGGUGGAAACUGUCGAGCUAGAGUCCGGAAGAGGCGAGUGGAAUUCCUGGUGUAGCGGUGAAAUGCGUUGAUAUCGGAAGGAACGCCGGUGGCGAAAGCGCGCGGCUGGACCUCUUCUGACGCUGAGGCGCGAAAGCCAGGGGAGCAAACGGG